GACUAAAAAAAUCAGAAAGAAGAGUGGGGAACAGCAGCCUUCCAAAGACCCACCGACUCAGCAGAAAACGAACAAGGCAUCCAGACCAGCAGCAGCGACCCCGAAACGAUCAUCAGCGGCGAUCAGGGGAUCCAGACGAGGAGUGGCAACCCGGAAGUGCCUGCCGGCAGCGUUUUGGGAAUUCCCCCAAACAGCCUAGACGUGAGGACCACAAGAAGAGACCGACACCGAUAGUACAUGCAGAAAUGUACGAUCCUGUGUGUGGAAUUCGAAGUGAACUCUGUGUCAAACCUCUACAACAAGUUGAAGACAAGCAGAACAAUUGUUUUAUUGGAUCUAACUUGCAAAAGAUCUCUUUACAGCUUCAAGAAUCAAUGGAAUUUACAAUGGCUUGUAAUGUGAAUAACAUAACUUCUGUUUUUACUGAAGAAUGAGUCUCGACUCCUUUGAGACCAAAACCAAUGAUUUUAACUAAUAGCAGUUGUAAAAGUUGAUCAAUGUUAUGUGGAUUAUGAAGCAUUUUAUUUGGUCACAAAUAGGACUUGUAACACACAUAAGUCGGAUUCAAACUUUGUUUAUUGGGAAUGAACUAUUUUCUUUAUGAAGUAAUACAAGAGGCCCCUCAGAGGCUGGAAUUGGAUUCCACCUCUGAUAUUUGAAUAUCCACAUUCAUUAGAACACGCAAGCACCCGAACUCACAAAAUGAUUGGUUCAAGUCUUCCCUCCCCUUAAGUUUAAAACUUACUGCACUGGCCAAGCAGCUCUUUUUUCAGUUUUUAUUAUUUUUUUUCUAUAGUUUUUCCAUCUUCCUGAGUUUGUUGCUUCAAAUGAACAAGAAAUAACUAAGUUGUUCAAUUCCUAAGAAUAAGCAAGUUUCCGCACACCUGUUCUUGUUUUAAACAAAUUCUUUUUCCUUUUUUUUACAUUUGUUGCCUCCAGAUAAUUUUAAAAACCGCAUCUGACAUUUUUAUAUUUUUAAUGCUUUUAUUUUGAAACAGAUUUUUCACGCAUGCUAGAUCUAUAAGUUCCGUCGCCCAGCCAGCUCCAUAACUUAUAAUUUUGGUCAUAAACUCCAAAGAAAGAGAUCACUCUAUCACUCUAAUUCAAGUGACCUGAACUGAGCAAAACCAGGAGAUUUUCUUCUGGAAGAACCUUUAAUCUCUCGUACAUCUGGUUGAAGAUCAUGGAGGUGCAAAGCUUCAUUCCAGAAUCCUCCUCUGGUAAUGGGACAUUCGAACCCUUCUCAACGGAAUGAACCAAAACCAGGUUGGAGGAGCACAACCUCCGACUCGUUCAGUCACUGUGAAGAUGAACGUUAUCUUGUCGAACGUCAAGUCUUAGCCCAAAUUUCCCCCUUUUAGGAGCCCUCCUCCGCUCAUCACAUAAACACCUUUCCAUACAAAACACACUUAAUUCCUCCACACACACUUAGCACACCUCUCAUUUCCAUGUUUUAUUUUGUAUUUUGUUUUUAUCAUAUUUCCAGUAUAUUAAUUGAAAGCUUGUGUCUUAUGUUUUACAUAUGCUGAUUGCUUUUGAAAAUAUGUUCUUACGUCCAGAAUUUCCUGUUUGUUUUAACCUCAUUUUAUUCAAUAAAUAUUCAAAGGAUUCUGUUUAGAUUUCAUUAUUUAUUCUAAUAGAAAGU